rnacentral:rRNA from 1 species
CAGCCGCCGCGGUAACACCGGCGGCUCGAGUGGUGGCCACUUUUAUUGGGUCUAAAGCGUCCGUAGCCGGCUUGGCAAGUCCCCUGGGAAAUCUGGCGGCUUAACCGUCAGGCGUCCAGAGGAUACUGCCAGGCUUGGGACCGGGAGAGGUGAGAGGUACCUCAGGGGUAGGGGUGAAAUCUUGUGAUCCCUGAGGGACCACCAGUGGCGAAGGCGUCUCACUAGAACGGGUCCGACGGUCAGGGACGAAAGCUGGGGGCACGAACCGGAUUAGAUACCCGGGUAGUCCCAGCCGUAAACGAUGCUCGCGAGGUGUCAGGCAUGGCAUGACGGUGCCUGGUGCCGAAGGGAAGCCGUGAAGCGAGCCACCUGGGAAGUACGGCCGCAAGGCUGAAACUUAAAGGAAUUGGCGGG